rnacentral:rRNA from 1 species
GGAUAAGGAAAGUAAAAAAGGGCGCAUGGCGGAUGCCUUGGCUCUCGGAGGCGAUGAAGGACGUGAUAAGCUGCGAUAAGCUUUGGGGAGGUGCAAAUGACCUUUGAUCCAGAGAUUUCCGAAUGGGACAACCCAAUAUCUUGAAGAGGUAUUAUCUUACUAUGUAAGAGGCUAACGCAGGGAACUGAAACAUCUUAGUACCUGCAGGAAAAGAAAAUAAACAAUGAUUCCCCCAGUAGUGGCGAGCGAACGGGGAACAGCCCAAACCAUCCAUGUUACGGCAUGGGUGGGGUUGUAGGACUACGCCGUUGCAUGAAGACAUCAGAGAAGAACUUUCUGGAAAGAAAGACCAUAGAGCAUGACAGUUGCGUAUUCGAAUGUUGUCGAAGCAUAGUAGUAUCCUGAGUAGCGCGGAGCACGAGGAAUUCUGCGUGAAUCUGCCGGGACCAUCCGGUAAGGCUAAAUACUCCCGAGAGACCGAUAGCGAACCAGUACCGUGAGGGAAAGGUGAAAAGCACUUCGAACAGAAGAGUGAAAUAGUUCCUGAAACCGUGCGCCUACAAGCGGUCGGAGCUCGUUAAUGAGUGACGGCGUGCCUUUUGCAUAAUGAACCUACGAGUUGCCUUUGCCGGCAAGGUUAAGUGUGACGACACACGUAUCCGAAGCGAAAGCGAGUCUGAACAGGGCGUAUAGUCGGCAGUGGCAGACGCGAAACCAAGUGAUCUACCCUUGGCCAGGUUGAAGGCUGGGUAACACCAGCUGGAGGACCGCACCAAUAAGCGUUGAAAAGCUUCUGGAUGAGCUGAGGGUAGGGGUGAAAGGCUAAUCAAACUUGGAGAUAGCUCGUACUCCCCGAAAUGCAUUUAGGUGCAGCCUUGCGGGUUACUGAUGUGAGGUAGAGCGACUGAUAAGAUGCGAGGGCUUCACCGCCUAUCAAGUCUUGACAAACUCCGAAUGCGCAUCAGUUCUACCGCAGGAGUGAGGGCAUGGGUGCUAAGGUCCGUGCCCGAGAGGAGAAGAAUCCGGACCACCUGCUAAGGUCCCGAAAUGACAGCUAAGUUAAACUAACGAAGUCUGACUGCUAAGACAGCUAGGAUGUUGGCUUGGAAGCAGCCAUUCAUUUAAAGAGUGCGUAACAGCUCACUAGUCGAGGAGUCGGGCGUGGAUAAUAAUCGGGUAUCAAGUUGUCUACCGAAGCAGUGGGAUCAUUUAUAUGAUCGGUAGGGGAGCAUUCCAGUCAGCGUCGAAGGCGUACCGUGAGGUAUUCUGGAGCGUCUGGAAAAGCAAAUGUAGGUAUAAGUAACGAUAAAGGGGGCGGGAAACCCCCUCGCCGAAAGACUAAGGUUUCCUGAUCAACGCUAAUCGGAUCAGGGUCAGUCGGGUCCUAAGGCUCAGCCGAACGGCGAUGCCGAUGGCAGAAACGGUUAAUAUUCCGUUACUACCUUCAGGAGUGACGUGGAGACGCAGUAGUGACAGUGCCGCCAUCUGACGGAAUAGAUGGUUGAAGGGUGUAGGAGUCGAUCAUGGCAGGCAAAUCCACCAUGAGAUCCGAACCUGACAGUAUGCCGCGUCCUUCGGGACAAGGCAAUAGUGCGCGUAAGCAUGCUGCCGAGAAAAUCCGCUAAACUUAAUCCUGCAGGUACCCGUACCGCAAACGGACACACGUAGUCGGGAUGAAUAUUCUAAGGCGCUUGAGUGAUUCACGGUUAAGGAACUAGGCAAACUGACCCUGUAACUUCGGGAUAAAGGGUCCCUACCCUUUUAUGGGAGGGCGCAGAGAAUCGGUCCAGGCAACUGUUUAACAAAAACACAGGGCUGUGCCAAAUCGAAAGAUCCAGUAUACAGCCUGACACCUGCCCGGUGCUGGAAGGUUAAGAGGAGAUGUCAUCGAUAAGAGAAGCGUUGAAUUGAAGCCCCAGUAAACGGCGGCCGUAACUAUAACGGUCCUAAGGUAGCGAAAUUCCUUGUCGGGUAAGUUCCGACCUGCACGAAUGGUGUAAUGAUCUGGACGCUGUCUCAACCGUGAGCUCAGUGAAAUUGUAGUAUCGGUGAAGAUGCCGAUUACCCGCGAUGGGACGAAAAGACCCCGUGAACCUUUACUAUAGCUUAUCAUUGAAUCUGGGCACGUGAUGUGUAGGAUAGGUCGGAGGCUUUGAAGCAGGUACGCCAGUAUUUGUGGAGCCGCUGUUGAAAUACGACCCUUUAUUUGUUUGGAUUCUAACCCGUGGAACGGGGACAUUGAUUGGUGGGUAGUUUGACUGGGGUGGUCGCCUCCAAAAGCGUAACGGAGGCUUCUAAAGGUGCCCUCCGGCCGAUUGGUAACCGGCCUUAGAGUGUAAUGGCAUAAGGGCGCUUGACUGGGAGACUAACAAGUCGAUCAGGUAGGAAACUAGAGCAUAGUGAUCCGGUGUUUCCGUAUGGAAGGGACAUCGCUCAAAGGAUAAAAGGUACUCCGGGGAUAACAGGCUGAUCCCUCCCAAGAGCUCAUAUCGACGGAGUGGUUUGGCACCUCGAUGUCGGCUCGUCACAUCCUGGGGCUGGAGAAGGUCCCAAGGGUUGGGCUGUUCGCCCAUUAAAGUGGCACGCGAGCUGGGUUCAGAACGUCGUGAGACAGUUCGGUCUCUAUCUAUCGUGGGCGUAUGAAAUUUGCGUGGCUCUGACACUAGUACGAGAGGACCGUGUUGGACAGACCUCUGGUUUGCCGGUUGUGCCGCCAGGUGCAUUGCCGGGUAUCUAAGUCUGGAUCGGAUAAGUGCUGAAAGCAUCUAAGUACGAAGCCGGCCACAAGAUUAGAUUUCUCAGGGUCGUUGUAGACUACGACGUUGAUAGGAUGCAGGUGUAAAGAUGGAGACAUCAAAGCCGAGCAUUACUAAUUGCCCGUUCACUUUCCUUA